rnacentral:rRNA from 1 species
GAUGAACGCUGGCGGCGUGCCUAAUACAUGCAAGUCGAGCGAAUGGAUUAAGAGCUUGCUCUUAUGAAGUUAGCGGCGGACGGGUGAGUAACACGUGGGUAACCUGCCCAUAAGACUGGGAUAACUCCGGGAAACCGGGGCUAAUACCGGAUAACAUUUUGAACCGCAUGGUUCGAAAUUGAAAGGCGGCUUCGGCUGUCACUUAUGGAUGGACCCGCGUCGCAUUAGCUAGUUGGUGAGGUAACGGCUCACCAAGGCAACGAUGCGUAGCCGACCGGAGAGGUUGAUCGGCCACACUGGGACUGAGACACGACCCAGACUCCUACGGGAGGCAGCAGUAGGGAAUCUUCCGCAAUGGACGAAAGUCUGACGGAGCAACGCCGCGUGAGUGAUGAAGGCUUUCGGGUCGUAAAACUCUGUUGUUAGGGAAGAACAAGUGCUAGUUGAAUAAGCUGGCACCUUGACGGUACCUAACCAGAAAGCCACGGCUAACUACGUGCCAGCAGCCGCAGUAA